rnacentral:tRNA from 1 species
GGUUUUAUAGUGUAGCGGUUAUCACAUCGGAUUCUGAUAAUCGGAACUUCCGGGAACCCCGGUUCGAUUCCGGGUAAGACCU